rnacentral:lncRNA from 1 species
CAGCUCCUUCACGCUGUAGCCCAUGACUGAGUCCUAAUAAAGCCUUAGCUGAACUCCUUCUCCUGCCUCUUAUCAGUCUCUAAAGCAUCCAAAGGCUCAAGUUGGUAAUGCUUCCUUGCUGCGAGGCCUUAGGAGCUCGAUCUGGUGAGUUGGCCUGGGCCCAGGUCAUGAAGGAUGAGUUUAGCGGUUGGAUGGAAACAUGGAAUCAUUGCCCCGGUGGGCUUGCCCUGAGGCUGCUCCAGGAGAUGUGACGGGAGGAUGACAGGUACGCACGUUGAAAAUUACUUCGAGGUGGUCUCAGCCCCAUUUACUGUCCCCAAGAGUCCUCUCCAGAGUUUGAUGUGGACACAUUAGAAGCACACAUGAAGACAAUGAUGUAUAUGUGUUUAGUCUGAACUGGUCCAGCAUGGCUGCGUCACCGUGGAGCACAGCUGCCUGGGAAAGAGAAGAAAGAUGGGGGUGUUAAUCAUUGUGGCAGGCACGUUCUUCCUCCCUCGGCCCAUCUGCCAAGGCUGUAGGGCUGGUCACCACUGAAGGCGCUUUCAUUCACUCUUCUCUAAAACUGACAUAGGUGGCUUCUGCAUGGGAAGACCUUAAGGAAUUCAAUUCAAGUCCAUUUACUUCAAUGCUUCAGGAAUAUUUAUGUUUAGCUUGUUUAGGAACACCUUUGGAGGCACUGAACCAUGUGUUAGGAACACAGCCAUGAGCAAGGAGGUGUAGACCCUGCCCUCAGGGAACUUACCUAUUCUGUGCAGAGUCUGUGCUCGGCAAAGAGAAUGCAGAAAUGGACACCACUCCCCAUGUACCCCACAGGGACUGCACCUGGCUGGCCAUUAAUUCCACACCUGGCACUCAGCAGGGUAUUGUAUAUCUGCUCCCACAACAUUCCUUUAAAGUAGGUAUUAUUCUGAUCAUAGAGGUGAGGAAGCAGCCUCAGGGUCUCCCUGGGAAACUUUGCCAGCUUAAGGUCAGGAAACAGUAGAAAACAUUAAAACUAAGGCCAACCUUGGACCAUAAAGCCAAGCCAGUUCCUCCUCACUGUGCCCUGCUUCUAGUAUCAGAAGCAUCCCCUUGAAUCUGAUUGGUUAUUUAUUUAUUUAAGUGUUAUAGGAGUUGUGCAUAUAAGACGCAAAGUGGGGAGCAUUUGGGCCAGGCUUGAAAGAAUAUGUAGACAUCUAUCAUGAGGAAAAUGUGGGGAAGUAUUCUAGGCAUGGACACAGAGCUGCAUCUGGAAUGUUGCAUGGCUGCUGGGGGCGUGAGGAGGUGGUCUGCAAGGAUGGGCAGGGAAUGAGCCUUCUAAGGGGGAGUUAGGCCAGUUGUGAAGAGGAGUCUUCACUGCUUCCUUAGGGGAUGGAAGCUAUCAGCUAUGUUUAAGCAAUAAGGUGACUGACUAUCAAAGUAAGGAAGAAUCACAGAGGCAGUACAUGGAAUUGGCCAGUAGGGGGUAACAGAGAGUGCAAACCUGGGAGAGCAUGAGGGGGCCAUUACUAAGGUGGUCUUGCAAGUAAUGAUUCUCUUUUGUGGACCCAUCACAUGGGUCAGUCUGAUGUGUUUCAUUGAGAAGCACCUGAUCUGUGGUUACUUCCUAGUUAGGUAGGUAGAAGUAAUUUUUUCCACAUUUCUCUUAUAAUCUCUUUGGCCAAAAUCAGAAUUUCUUUUAGCCAUGUGAGGAAACAAAAUACAUUAUUAGUCUAUUUAUGUAAUAAUAAUGAUGAUGUAGAGGACAUUGGGAUGAAUGACCGAGAUCUCACAUCUGUACUUCUCUAGCUGCUGAGAGGGCUGCCAGCAGACAGCCCUCAAUUCUUAGUCCUCUUUGAAGAUUGCAUCAGCUGAAGAGAGCUCUCUCUCCCGAGAUCACACUGCCUUCCUGGGGCAGCCCACAUCCAAUGACUGAACUCUGGUGGGGGAAGGGGUGGUUACAAAUGCCUAGCCCCCUACUUCCAGUUUGGGGUAACUCGGAAAGGCCUUCCCCACUUAAGAGCACCCUCCAAUGUUGGCUGAGACCUCCGUUGAAGCCGUGCUGCAGCCCACAUCUUCCUCUUCCUGACCCUCCACCUUUCCUUUUGUUCCCUCUUAGCAUGUGGGGAUUCUGAGAUCUCUCCCUGAUGGAGUUCAUCAUCCCAGCUGUUGCUUAGGGGAAAACCCAGCAGCAAAUGACAAUUGUAGCUAAUGUUUUUCAGUUUGUUUGUUUGUGCCGAAUAUCAUGAGAAGGAGUUUAUACACAUAUUCUCAUUUCAUUCUUACAAUAACUACGGGUAGUAGGUAGCCCAUAAAACAUUAUUUUUACCAUUGUGUAGGCACCAAAGAAUUUUCCUGUUAGUGAUCCUAGGUGAAUUUUAAUCCUUCCUGGGAGAGAGCAGGGCAGGGAUUCCUAACCUCUUUAGACAUACUAGAAACUUAGGCCCACAGAGAAAUAAAUUCCCUCAGACUGCAAAUCUAGGAAUGUUGCAGAAUUGUCUAACUUUUUGAUCAAUUCCACUGCAUAUAGACAUUCCCAUUUCUGCUUAUGCUUUUUUAUUUUUUUUAAUUUUUAAAUUUUUUUUCCACUGGUUGGGGGGUCAGCACAGAAUGAGGGAAGAAUAAACACCAUGUAUAUCAGUGCUGGCUGGUGCUGCACCACGCUAGGGAACUAGCUCUGUGCUUGCUCCCCUGGGGCCAGGGACAGUCAUUCACCUGCUGCAUCAACACCCUCCUUGUUCCUUUAAUGGAAAGCAUUCUGGUUCGAUCAUAAUUUUUCCUCCCAUUGUUGUGUUGCGAUGUAAGUAUCUAGACAUAGUUCUCAAUGCUUACAAUUGCUUAUGCUUUUUAAUAUGCCAUGUCCUGGAUAGGCUUUCCACCCCCUGGUCUGAAAGCUGGACAUUUCUCAGCUAGUGCCCACCUUUUGGACUCUCACUCAAAAUGUGUGGCCUAAGACAAAAUGGAAAGCAAUGGCUCUUAUACAAUAUCAGUGCCAAGGAAGCCUUCAGCAUCUAACUCAGGGAUUUCAAACUUUUUUCUACAGAGCUGCUUUGGGGGCUCAAGAGAAAAGAACAGGGAAAGAGAAAGAGUAGAAUGGAAAAUAAGAGGAAGGGAAUAGGGCCUGAGAGGCAAAGAAAAGAUGAAAAGAGGUUAGGGAGAAGUGGGGAGGGGCGCAGGGGGAGAAAGAGGGAGAGGAGGGGAAGGGAGGAGAGGGCAGGAGUGGGAGGGGCGGGCAAGGACCUGGCCAGCUGCUCUAGGAAAUAAACAAUGGCAACUUUCCUGCCCAGGAGGCAGCUGGUUAUUGGGCACUUUGAACUCCUCAGGACAGUAUGCUUUAUCAUCUGGAAUAAUAAACGCAAACCUGGUGGCCCAAGGAGCAGGCAGGGCUCAGUCUGGGAGGUACAGCCCUGAGCUUGGCCACAGUGGGCAGCCUGCUGUCUCACCUGCACUGAGGAGCCCAGGAAGGCAGCCUCUGUGAGGCACCCGGGGCCAAGAGGGCUCUCAGCUGGUGCUGAGUGAGCUUUUCAAAGUAAACAAGGGCUCUGGGGCCAGGGGGAGCCUCCUCUUGGUGGUGACUCUGAUGCGAUGUGGACCCUGGAAGGGGCUUGGUAUUUUUAGCUCUCCACUUGCUUUGAAAGAAAGAAAAAGGGAAAGAAACAGAACCAGAGUGUGCAAUCUAUUAUUUUUUAGGACAUAAUAGCUAACAGCUCUGAAAACAUUCUGGAUGUGCUCCACAGCUCAUCAGCAGGCACAUCAGCACAGAAUGAGGGAAGAAUAAACACCAUGUAUAUCAGUGCUGGCUGGUGCUGCACCAUGCUAGGGAACCAGCUCUGUGCUUGCCUCGCCUGGGGCCAGGGACAGUCAUUCACCUGUUGGCUCCUCUGGUGCAUCAACACCCUCCUUGUUCCUUUAAUGGAAAGCAUUCUGGUUUGAUCAGACCCAGGUUGGAGUCAUACUUUCCUAGGCCAUUAAGAGGUCAGGGAAAUCCUUUGGGGUUGGGGGGUCAGUUCUGGGACCUGAUCUACUCCCUUGCUCGCCGUGGCCUUGGACGAGUCCCCUGGUUCCCCUGAACCUAGGUGAAUUCAAAAGGCUCUUUGAGUUUUAACACUAAAGCAACCUGUAGAAAUAUAAAUGAGGAGAGGUCCUGAGAGGCCAGGAGGGUCCCAGUGCACUACACAAAAUCAAUAUCUCUUGAGUGAACAGGAAGUACAAUGGGGGUUGAUGGCCCACCCUUACCUGCAUGCAUAGAGGAAAUUGGACUUUCUUCUAUUACUUGCAGUUUUGUAAUCUCUAAACCUCUCAGAAGAGUAAAGACAUUUUAAUUUUGUGGUGGCCAACAGCGGCAGGCAGCCAUAGGAGAUGAUGGAUGAGCAGAGGGCUUGUGGGCUGCAGGGAGCUGGCUGGAGGGCGUGAGUGUGCAGGGCGGUGCUUGCCCUUUCUGGGGAGGAUGCUGGACUGGGAUGUGGAAGACCUGGGCUUGCCAUCUCCUUGCAGGGGCAACCUUGGGGAGAUCUUCCUUUCCGGAAGCCCAGCCUGUUCCAUCACUUCCCUUUCUGCCUCCCCCCUCAGUGCCCUGGGCCAGCCUCCAUGCAGCCUCUCUCUGCCCCGGAUGAUCCUUCCAGGCUCUAACUGUUCUCACUGCCCUUCAGCCCUGCUUGGCUCCUCUCCAUGCUCCUUGCUCUGCCUCCUCUAAAGUGAUCUCCUAGCGUGAAAAUCAGAUGGGGCCCCGCUCUGGCACACAACCGUCAUCUACAGCUCCUUUGUCUCAGGCAUAUGUCCAAGCAUUCAAGGCCUUUUGAGGUCUGGCCCCUGCUCAUGGUUCCAGUAUCAGCACCUGUGCCUGCUUUUUCUGCAUGCACCUUAAGAUUCCAGGCACAUUAGUCCCAGAAGGCUCCACACUUUCCCAAACAUGCGUAACCUUGUGCAUGCUGUUCCUUCCUCUUCCAAAACUCAUCUCGAGCAUCUGCUUUGCCCAGAGGACAGGGCUUGGGAAGGCCUCAUGGAGCCAAUCCCUUCCUUCUGUACACAGUCCUGUUACAGCCCCUAUUGCCUGUCAUACUCUCUCUGGGGAGACAGGUGAAAACAAAACCCCACAAGCACCAGGUUGUGGUCACUGCCGUACUCCAUGGCUAUCACAAUUAGCAAGAGUUGUCAGGAGAUGAUGGAUUUAUGGAUAUAUCUAUACAAUAGGGGUAAAGAGUCCUCCCUUUUCACUAUUGGAAGGAUGCAGAGAAUGCAAAAAAGUUUUAUAGAAGGUAGAGGCUGUACACCCUUUGAGGGUUUGUUGUUAUGAUGAUCCAAUUCCAGGACAGAAACUAGAGACAGAAGAGCAGAAACAGAAUUUCUUCCUCCCCACCUUCCCUUCCCUUUUCUCUUCCCCCUUCCCUUCUUCCCUCCUUUCUUGAGUGUUUUGCAUUGCCUAAGGCCUAAAGGAAUGCUGAAGAACCAGGCAGACAAGAUCCCCUCCCCCCAUGGGGCAUAUUUUCUGUUAAGGAAAUAAAUACGGCAAACAAACAAAUAGGCACGCUGAUUUUCAUUAAUGAAAGACUGAGAGCAGAAGCAGGUGCAGUAGGGGCCAUGGGAAGAGAAGGUUUUUAGGCACUCGACCACUCUGCCCCCCAUCAGGGAGGGCAGCUGUGAGCUGUGCGACUUGAGCAUCAGGGCUGCCUGGCACCGUUCAGUUUCCUUCUCCGUAGUGUGAGAUGAUGAUGCCCAUCUCGAUGGAGAGUGGUGAGGAAUGAAUUGACAGGCGCAGCUUAUAACUUUCUAGGAACUGACAUCCUGAAAGGGAAUUUAUGGUUUCCUCAUCCCCCAGUAACGAAAGGGGCUUCUGCUAUGUCCUGAGGGAAGGGACGGGCACCGAGGCCUUGCGUGCUUGGGAGUAGUAUCUUCUCUCCCAACAAGAGACCCCCAACAACAGGGAAGCCACCUUUCUUUGUAGUUCUCUGCAUGGAUUCUAGACCUUUCCCCGGUCCUGAAUCAUGGCUUGCUGUGAUCAACUAUGUUUUGUCUCCGUGGCUCACCUGGAGCUAGUCACUUUCCCUUUCGGGGCCUAUGUUUCCCCCUGUAAAAAGAAGGCAUUAAACUAAAAAA